UACAGAGGGGGCAAGCGUUGUUCGGAAUUACUGGGCGUAAAGGGCGCGUAGGCGGCCUGCUAAGUCGAACGUGAAAUCCCCGGGCUCAACCCGGGAACUGCGUCCGAUACUGGUAGGCUUGAAUUCGGGAGAGGGAUGCGGAAUUCCAGGUGUAGCGGUGAAAUGCGUAGAUAUCUGGAGGAACACCGGUGGCGAAGGCGGCAUCCUGGACCGAUAUUGACGCUGAGGCGCGAAAGCCAGGGGAGCAAACGGG
rnacentral:rRNA from 1 species